CAAUCCUUGCUCUACUGUCUAAAUGAGGAAACACUUUUAUCAAUUCACCUGGUCAGGGGAAAAUGACCUGGGAAGAGGGAAACACUGGUUGUCUCCAGCUGCUCCCAGAUUUUCAAGUAAGUAAGAGGCUAUGCUUACUCCUCCUCCAAAUAAAGCCACAAAGUCUUUGCUGUGACUGCAUUUACCUAGAAAGAUUAGAGACCAAGCUUGUGGCCAUUGUUUGUUAGAAUAUCCUAAAACAAAAGCUAGAGAGUCCUAAGAGCCUGCACUGUCAGAUACUGAUAUGUUUAUUCUAAAAAUGCAGGAAUUAUUUCUGUUUCCCAUGCAGCUUUCAGAAUACCAUCAUCACUCUCCAGAAAUUAUACCAAAAAUCUCUGACAGGGAAGCACUAGCAACUUUUAUCACCCUGGGCCAAAAUUAAAUUUGACCUUCAAUGAAAAAAAAAAAAAAUUCAUCUUUUAUGUAGAGAAGUAAUCAUGAGUAUAUAUUAAGAAAUUCUUAGCAAAAGCUUGGAUUUAUGUAAGAAAAAUAUAAUCUAUCAGUCUAAGAAAUGUGUUAAUUAUACCACGAUUCUCUUAUUUUGCUUCACUGGAGAGUUGUUUAAAUUGGCAUCAUUUCUUUUUCAGUUGUCACGUUGUUUUUCUCCACAGGUUUUCAUAAAAUAAAACCAAAAGCAAAUCACAAUGAUUAUUGAAUUUUGUGACGUAUGCUUCAAGUGAUACAGUAGAAAAUUAGGUUAGACUGUCUGGAUGGAUCCUUGUUUUUCAAAGUUGUUUUUUUUUUUUUUUUAGUCACUUCAGACAAGAUGCCACAUUCUUGCCUGAAGCACUGGCAAUAAAAGAAAGGUGUUAGAUACAAUGGGGAAGCACUUCCAAGGUUAGCAUACAAUGCCUAAUUUUUUGUUUGUUUGUUUAAGGAUUUCAUAAGGCUCCCUAAUCGAGUAGCUAUCCUAUGAAGGCUUUCCGUUAGAAAUGAUGGCCUGAGUCAGGCCCUAGGAAGAGGCACAUUUCUAUACUUCAAAGAGAAAGGAAAAGAAACAAAGGCUGGAAGAGAAGGACAAUCUACCUUAGGAGUAGAUUUCUUUUUUUGCUGUGCUGCACAAAUGUGGGGAUGAGCGUGGGAGGAACAAUUGGGAUGCAUACUGUACGGCCAGGCCUGGACAGUUAUGAAUCAGUAGUCAUUACCACCUCUCCCUUCCCAGGGCUCUGCCGCUCUCUGUGGGCUGUGUCUCCCCACCACACACACAAACAGACACACACACACACACACACACACACGCACACACACACAUAAUGAGUCAUUCAUGGCUUCAAGAAAAUUAAGAAGUAACAUAAAAGUUGUCACCUCACAAGCCAGUUUGAUCUCACUGCAGUAAGUACCGACUCUGUCUAAUCUUCCUUCUCUGCAACCUUCAGUGCCCCAGGCAUGACCAGAGUGAAGCAGACAUCACUUCUGCACCGUCACUCUUGACUGAGCUUCAAGCAAGAUUAGUUGUAACUUAUAGCAGAAUCUCAGGGCGCGGGGAAGAAGAUGCGGCCUGGUGAUCAUCAUGAAGAUUACCUAUCCACCUACUCUGCUACAGGACUCAAUCUCUUAGCCAUAUUUUCAUUUGGUGCCAAUGGAGGGAAGAGAAGGGCAUGCUUUCUGUCGUCUCUGUCAUCAAAACCAGCUCCAGUCUUUAGGGCAAAUGUUCCCCUAUUUGAAAAGCAUUCAUUCACCUGGAGAAGCAGAUUUAAUUAAAUUCUCUUGGGGAGCCUUGGUGGCUCAGUCGGGUGAGUGUCCCAGUUCGGCUGAGGUCAUGGUCUCCCGGUUUAUGAGUUUGAGCCCCACAUCCAGCUCGUUGCCAUUAGCCUGUCAGCAUCAGCGCAGAGCCCGGUUUGGAUAUUCUGUCUUCCUCUCUCUGCCCCUCCCCCACUUGCAUUUGC
rnacentral:lncRNA from 1 species